AGAGUACUCCCUCCAUCCGAAAAAUCUUGUCCCAAACUUGUCUUUCAAAUGAAUAUAUCUAGCACUAACUUGAUGCUAGAUACAUUCAUAUGAGAGACAAGCUAUUUCAGACGGAGGGAGUAAUAA
rfam:Triticum urartu cultivar G1812 contig770305, whole genome shotgun sequence.